rnacentral:rRNA from 1 species
GAUGAACGCUAGCGGCAGGCCUAACACAUGCAAGUCGAGGGGUAACAUAGAGAAGCUUGCUUUUCUGAUGACGACCGGCGCACGGGUGCGUAACGCGUAUACAAUCUACCUUACACUAGGGGAUAGCCUUUGGAAACGAAGAUUAAUACCCUAUAGUAUGAUAAAGUGGCAUCACUUAAUCAUUAAAGGUUACGGUGUAAGAUGAGUAUGCGUCCUAUUAGUUAGUUGGUGUGGUAACGGCACACCAAGACAACGAUAGGUAGGGGCCCUGAGAGGGGGAUCCUCCACACUGGUACUGAGACACGGACCAG